rnacentral:miRNA from 10 species
AGAGCCUUAUGUACGGGCAUACU